UUUUUUUUUUUUUUUGUAGCAAAUGUCUGCGAAUGGAGAAACUCAUGGUUGCUCAAGGUGCUGAGAAUAACUUAAAUGUCAAGUGUUCAGCCCUUUUUAGCCUUUGGAAACACUGAGGAGGAAGGAAGAAUCAGGAAGAUAUACCAUUUCAGGUGGGAGGGAAACACUUUUCUGGGAACAACAUGAAUGUUGGAAUGAUCAUGAAGUCUCGGCAGGCCUAGGUGCCUAUGCUGUGCCUGCGGAGCCUGGGACGUUCAGCUUGUGUGAGGCUUUGCACCUCCAUGGACCAUACUGGCUGUUGAUACAUACUGGGGGACUGACACUUGUCUUCAUGCCUGGAGACACUAGUGAGUUUACCAAGCUUCAGUAGCUAGUUCUAAAGCCUUGGUCAUGAUCAUUUACAAAUCGUUGAAAACGUCUCAUAGUCUUCAAAGUGUCAUUUCAGUGAAGUCAUGGAAUAGACAGUGAUACCCUCCCACUGGAGAGAUCAGCUUUAUAGAAUAUAAAUAACUGACUAGAGUAAUACGAAUUAAUGAUGUAUCAUCUUUUAAAUAUAUUUUCAUGGUUUCUGGGAGCUGGAAAGUUCCAGAUCAAGAAUAGAUGUCCUCACAUGACCGCAAGUCGGAAGCAAGCCGGAAAAGCUGCUUAUCGUGAAGAGAUUGCUUAGGUACACAUCAGCAAGGCCCCUGGAGCCAGUUUUGUAUCACGCACAGGAAACGUGAUCUCUAAAGGUGCUAAUUCAGCUGCGGAUGACCUGUUCAUGACUCUGGAAGGGCCCUCUCUUCACCAUGCUCUCAGCAUGUAACAUACAGAAAUCCCAAGUUGUUGCAGUAAUGGAAUAAAUAAAGACUCCAAAACCUGACCAGAAGGAAACUAAAGGCAAGAAAAGCUGAGAAGGUGGUUCAGUUGUGAAAAUGCUUGCAACCCAAACAUGAGAAUCUGAGUUCAAGGCCCAGUGCCUGCAUAAAAAGCUAGACAGGGUGGGGCCAACCUGUAAUCACCAUGCUGGAGAGGCCAAACCAGUGGAUUCCUUGAGCUCAGCACACUGGUGAGCCAAGCUAGUGAGUCAGUGAGGCCCAGGUUCAAAACAAAAAGUGGAGAGUAAUUAAAGAGAACACCUAAUAGCACCAUUGGCUUCCAUAGAUUAUGUGCACACACACACACACACAUACACACACAUAGACACACAGACACAGACUGGAAGAAUAAAAGAAAUAAGCAAAGCAUAUUGAAAAAUGCUUUAACCUUCGGACUUUGGAGCUACAGACAAGGCUCUAGAGUUUGAGGCCAGUCUGGGAUUUAUAGGCAAUUCAAGGCCAGCUACUCCAGACUCUAUCUAAAAAACAGAACCAAAAAGAUGCAGAGACUCUAGAGAGCUAAGGAGUUCUUUUGGGGAAGGAAGAGGCCACAGCUGCUCUCACCACUGAAACAGAAGGAAGAGCCCAUUAUACAAUGGGGUAAAGACAAGUUAACUUAUUUUUCAUCGAAAUUUAAUGGAAUUUAGUGGUAGAGACAUUUAAUGGUAGAGAAAGUCUACGUUCAAACAUUCACUGUGGUUGUUUGAUUCAGAAUCAAAGCUACUUACUCAAGGGUGAUGGGCAGCAACACUGGAAAUAGAAAAGUUGAGAGGGAGUCCCUAUUGAGGCAUGUGGUCAUUCCUGUAAGUUCAAAGAGUUUUCUGAAGGCAAAGGGAAUAGGGCAGGCAAGUUAAAAAAAAAAAAUCUCCCAGUUGACUUGACUGACAAGAGCAGCCCUGGGUGGCUCAGCCUCUGUUGUUUUGUAAACACUCAGCUCAGGAGCACUUGUGAGGACAACAGGAGAUUUGAGCCUUGUUUCAUAAUCCACUUAGCUAGCCAGUGCCUUUAAAUUGGAGAAUUAUGGAUGUCUGCACUGGACUAGAGAAAUGGCUCAGUGGUUCAGAGUGUUGGUUGUUCUUUCACAGGACCUGGGUUUGAUUCACAGCAUUUGCAAGGCAGCUCACAAACAUCUCUAACUCCAGCUCUAGGGGAUUCAACAUCCUCUUUGGUCUCCUCAGACCUCCUUAAGCAUCAGGCAGGCAUGUGGUGCGCAGGCACACAUGGUGCGCAGGCAGAGCAACCACACACAUAAAACAAAGGAAGCAUGCAUAAGGAUUACUACUGGAAGGCAAUUACUACUGUGACUCUUGUCAAGGAGGGAUGGGCUUUGAUGGAUCGUCCCGGAAGAAAUGCUACAGGAGGGUGAUGGCAGGAACCUGGCUGCUACUCCCACCCCACCCUUCCUCCCCCAAACAAAGACAAGAACAGUAAGAAAAGAACAGAGAAGUCUCGACCAUUGAAGAUGUUUAUUAAAAUUCAAGGGGAAAAAAAAACCCGAUCAUUGCGUGUCAGACAGGACGCAAACACAUGAGCGUGAGAAGCAGGCAGCCACUGCAUGUGCAGAAGGACGGGAGCCCCUUCAGUUCUUCUCAGUGGUCAGUGCGAGGAUACGCAGAAAGCUCGAGGACUGUAAGACACCCAGGAAUGCUGUCAGACAUAGAGUUCUGCUCAGAUGCAUUAAAAAUUCAGAUACAUAAAGGAAUAAACUGUGUGCCUAUGCAUAAUGUAACAGCAUCUUUGUCACAGUUCCCUUAGAUACCAUGAGAAGACUCACAGUGGAGAGAAACCACAGGCGUGCAAGCAAUGCAGGAAAGCAUUCACUUGUCCUGCUUCCCUUUAGAAAUAUGUAAGGAAUCACAACAGAGAGGAUCUCUAAACAUAACAUGGAAAAGUCCCUACCAUAGUAUUGUUUGUUUGUUUGAGACAGGGUGUCUCUACAUAGCCCUGGCUUUCCUGGGAUUUACAAUGUGGGCUUCAAACUCACAGGGCUCCACAUCUUUCUAGUAAAAAUGGCCAUAUAUAAUAAGGAAAAGUUCCACCAAUAUAUCAUUCUGGAACCUCUUUAGUCUUCUCCAUACACUUUAGAGAGAGGAAACAUUGAUUAGAAGAAAUCUAAAAAUUAUGUGUGGAUACAUAUUGCAUCAAAACCUUGUCAAAGUGAAAAGUAGUAUGAAGUUGUCUGUUCUGUGACAAAUUUCAGUGUGCUGUAAAGAUCCUUCCUAGGGGCAUAGGAAAGCUGCCAUCAAAGGCCAGAGGAUGGGUGGGCAGUACCUGUGCCCGAGACCUCCACUGACAGAAGCAAAGGCUAAACUGAAGAACAAAGCAACUCAUUAGGCUGGUAUGGUAUCCCGAGUAGCAGUAUGCUCACCUACAGCUCUGAAAUGAGGUGACAGAGCCUGAAACACAGGUAGAUGGAACUCUGGGAUAUUGUUAGUUCUCAGAUCGAAGGCUCUGCUGGAGGAAGUCCCCUCAUGCCUUAUAAUACUGAAGAGGCGGAAAACAAUAUUAACAGAGCAAACAGAAACACCUGUGUAUCGAACUGACUUAAUUUCAUCCCAGCAUUACAGAGAAGAGUGGAAACCACCUUUAGUUAAGUUGCCAUAGAGACAAAGUUGCUAUUUCAGUUGAGAUUACAGUUUUAUUUCUGGAUACUUAGUAAGCUUAAAUGGUAUUAUUUAUGUGUAUAUGUGUGUGAAAAAGUGGAUUUGGAUUCAUAUAUGCAUAUAAUUAACUCAAAAUUAUAGCUCAUAAACUCAAAUGUGAAACUUAAAACUUAAAUAAAAAUUUUGAAAGAAAACAGCAACCCCCAAUCAAAAACAAAUAAACAAAACCUUUGAACUAAAGUAAAUAUAGCCCAUAAAAGAAACCUAUAGAUUAGACCUAAUGGUAAUCAAAACCUGCUACUCUUCCACAGAUGGUGUUAGGAAAGACAGCCACACAACAAAAGAGGAAAUGUUUACUUACAGUACAAGUACCUGUUUAAGUGCUUUUAAAAAUUCAGCAAUAAGAAAUAGUAACCCAGGGCUGGAGAGAUGACUCAGCGGUUUAAGAGCACUGGCUGCUCUUUCAGAGGUCCUAAGUUCAAUUCCUAGCAACCACAUGGUGGCUCACACCCACCUGUAAUGGGAUCUGAUGCCCUUAUAUACAUAAUAUAAAUAAAUCUUAAAAAGAAAGGAAUAAUAAUCCCCAGCCCACCUAGCCAAUGGGCAAAGAGGCACCUUUGUUGUUGUUGUUGGUGUUCUUAUAUCAGUCAGGGGCCGAACAAUUGGCUGUUCUUUGUUCAUCCUAGCUUGAUGUCUGGCUUGCUGGCCAAAGCCAUCUUCUGACUAGGACUCAUUAAAAUAAAAACAAAUUAAAUCUAGGCUGCCCAGCCUGAAGGAGGAGGAAGACAAAGAUCUGUGGCUGCCAUGCCGCUCACAGACCUGGCCUCUCUGGAGACUCAAGGGUGGAGAGGAGUAGCCUGUGGAGUGACCAGCCUGGGGCCAGGCUGAGGUCCCAGGCCAAGCUGCUGCUAAAGGCUAGGUCUGAGUCAGUGGCUGUGCAGCAGCGGCAGGGGCAGUCCUGUCACUGUCCACACUCAUGGUACCCCUAGAGAACAGGGGAAUGCUUCUGGUUAGGGCAGUCUGCAGGGACCACAUGGAUAUCCCGAGGCCAUGUAUAAUCGGACCCACCUCUUGCUGGAUGUGGCAUUCUGGAGAGCUGGCUCUGUCUCUCACAGGCAGGAACACUUGGCAGAGUGGGUCCUUCGCCUUGCCCAGGCAGCACAGCGGAGCUGGCCUUGGUAGCAGGGAUGUGGAUGAGCGGGGCCCAAGGGCAUGAGUGUGGGAGAUCUGAGCCCACCACUGCUCUGCCAUAGGAUGACACGAGUGCAGAGGCGAUGCUCUCCCCUGCCCCACCUUCCCACCUCCGGGAGUCAGGAAAGCUGUCCACAGGGCAUGAGCUCAGGAGAGCUGCCCCUUCCCUGCUCCUUACCAGCUGCAACACUGGGAAUAGGCCCCACUCCUCACCCGGACAGCACAGCAGAACUGACCCUGAUGAUGUGGGUGCAGGUAAGUCAGCCCAGGGAGCUAGAGUGUGGGAGAACUGGCCCUGCCACUCCUUUCGGGUGGGUGCAGGGGUGAUGCCCUGCCUGCCUUGCCCUCACCAUCUGCAGCACUGGGUGAGCCGUCCCUGCGGUCUUCACAGCAAGAUAGCUGGUGCUACCCGUCUCGGGACCCAGCCCUUGGGACAGUAGGCCCUGCACUUCUGAGCAGCACAGUAGAGCUGACCUUGAUGGCUGGGCUUCAGGUCAUCUGGCCUGGGUCAUAAUCGAAGGAGAUCUAGCCCCCAACACUCCUCAGGUGUGAAGUGGCCUGUGGAGGUGGGGCUGGGUGCAGGAGAUGUCCUCUACCCCUAGACACCUGAGGCAAGCAGGAGAACUGGCCCCUGAGUACGGGUGAGUGAGCCCUGUACCUCACUUGGGCAACACAGUGGAGCUGGCCCUGAGAGCAAAGAUACCUGAGGGUGUGAGAGAGAAGAGCUGGCCCAGCCCCCUCCCCAGGCUUCAGGGGAGCAGGGAUGGGGUGGGAGUGUCCACCACCCGCUUCUGAAUACCAUGGGCAGUACCAUUCCCAUGCACAUACCCACACAGACACACACAUGCAUAUAAUAAAAAUAAAAUACUUCUUUUAAAAAUGUUUUAAAAAUCAUGAACAUUCUGCUUUCAUUGCAUUGAUCUUGUGAUGCAAAGAUGUGUGUGUGUGUGUGUGUGUGUGUGUGUAUUCAGUUUUAUCUAUCACAGAGAUAAUUGCUGGUAAGCAUCCAUGUGAUUUAUUUAGGGUUGUUCAAAUAUAUUACUACAUUAAUGUUGUACAUUAAUAGGAAUGUUUGAGUUCCUCUAAACCACUGUCCUAGAAAAAAUUUUGACCGAGUGUAGUGGUAUUGAGUAACAGUAGUAGGAAUUACCCUAACUUUCAGGGAAGACACCUUCAGGCCAUGUCAUGGUUUCAGGUGCUGCUCUCUCUCAAGCGUGCAGCUGGGCAGCUCACCCAGGGCUGCACACGUGUGAGCAAGCAUUUACCAUGAGCUUCAACUUCAGCCCAGUUCUUGUUCUUUUUUAAUUAUAAUGUACCAUAACUCAGAUUUAUAUCACAAUAAUUUAUGUUUGUAGCUAUACUUGAUAUACUUGUGUUUAUUAGUUGCUUGUCUUGAGACAAGUCAGGAAACAGGACAAGUUUAAAUACAUUGAUGGGUACAUCAGAGAGGUGGGUGGUCGUGGCAAGAUUGGGGAAGCAUGUCUGUACCCCGGAGAUGCUCCCUGAUGCUGUCUGCAUUCUUAGUUUGGGGUUGGUGGAAGCUUGUGGAUCCCCAAGCAACUAGAUUCCAAAGGCUUCUGUCUGUGAGUCUGAGCACAGAGCUGGGCAGGGAGUGGCUCUCUCAGGGCUAAAAGUAGUUGAGUAAAGGUAAGUAGCCUCUGGGCCUGUGACCUCUCCACAGUGUGAAAUUCUGAUUACUAUCUGCAGAAACAGCAAAGAGUUUUAGUGAACAUUCUUUAACUAAAGAAAUGUGUGAUACACUGAUAGUAAUAGCAGCUCUCAUCUAUAGGUUAGUUAGCCUUUGUCAAAAGGCCCACAAUUAGGGCUUGGCAGAGGCUGUCUUCUCUGAACUUUCUGGAUGUGAGUGUUUCCACAACACCAAUAAAAGCUUUUCUUGACUACCUGAUUUCUGUCUGCUCCUACUUUCUGAGUCUGACAAUGUCCCUACUGCCACCUGUCACACUAAAGAAUUUUCCUGCCUUUUAUUCUCUAACUGGUAGAGUAAAUGACGCUUAUCAGGAUCCUUAGAUGGUUACUUUAAUGAGACUUCCUCUCAGGAUUUGUUCUGAGGAACACUAAUUCAUAAGGUAAGUAUAAUAAGGUCAAACCCUAAAAGGAGAGGAAGGUGUCUGACUAUUGAGCUACUGGUACCUUUUUGCCAUCCUGAAAUGGGAUGGGAAUUUGUUUGUUUUGAGGCAGGAUUUCUGCCUGAAGCAGCCCUGGCUGUCCUGGAACUCACCAUGUAUACCGGGUUGCCCUUGAACUCACAGAGAUGUCCUCAGUGCUGGAUUAAACGUGCAGUGCGCCACCUGGCAGGUUCACUGGGAAGGUAAUUUUGCUUUCUUCUCUCUAACAAAGAAGGUCCCCUUAGAUAAUUCUUCUUCUAACCCUAAUGUCUGUGUAUCAUAGGAAGCAAGUUACUCUAGAAACUUAUGAGCAGAAAUUAAAAUGCACUAUUACCCAAAGCUUGGCUCCAGCAUUGUUACCUCACACCUCAGGGUAAACCUAAUCUGGGUGCUACAAUCAGGUAUAUUCACUGGAAAAUUGCCCUUUGUGGAGACAGAUGAACCUUGGGAGGUACCAAGCCUGUACCUCCCAUCCUAUCUUUGUCCCCUUUCCAAAUCAGAGAGACUGUUGAUGGCUAAAUUUCUUUUCCCUCCUUUUCUAGAGGCAAUCUGAGAGAAACCUCACACUGAUUGCAGCUGCUCUGACAGUUGCCUGUGGAUUCUGCUUUUCUUGAGCUGACACUGUGAAAUUCCUCCCCGAGUGUCUUUAUUGUUCUAUCUUAGACCUACCUGCCUAGACCACUGAUAGUGUUGCCUAUAUCCACGUGAAUCUAAGGUCUUUCUUUUUAAGAAAAAAGGCAUAAAUGUUCCACAUAUAUCUCCGAGAUCCCCCGGGACUUGUGCAGGAUGGAGUAUGAAAUCACUUUACUGUGGAGAUGAACUUACCAUGUGCAGAAAGCCACCAUCCUAGCUGCAGACCUCUGUAACAUCGUGGCAGCCAUGUGACAUGGCCCUCACUUUUGCUAGCUAAUGGUAUUAUAAAGAGGGAAAAUACCAAGUGAAGUCACCACCAUCUUGGUUAAUGUAACCAUGUGGUAUAAAACAAAAUGAUAUCACCCAUAAAUCUCCCAGGUCCAACUGAGGGGUCUAGAGAAACCCUUUUCAUUUUAGACUAAGGAGGUAACACAAGAUGUCCAAGGUGUUCUUUCUCUCUAUUUUAGUUGUGUUUUAAUUUUGACAUGAUGUUUUAUAUAAGAUACUGGUUUCUAGAGGAUGCAGACCUAAGGGAUUUCCCAGUCUCGUACAUAAAUGACCAUGAGUGUGCAUCAUGCUUUCCCAUCUGAACAACAAAUGUAAUGUGCCUUCAACACUGGCCUACUAACAAAGGCAGCUAACACUUUUGAGAUCUGUAGUGGUUCAGGGUUGAAUAUUGGUAAAACAUAGAUCCCAGUGGUGACUCAAGGGAAAAAAGACCAGGUGGUAGACAAUGUGCAGCUACUGCAGCCAGGGCACAAUGAGCUGCUUAAGCAAGAGUCUGGAGGCAUAGCAUCUUCUGGGUCUUAAUGCCUGUCUUUUCAGCCUUGGGCCUCUACCUGAGAGAGAAAGUUAUCCCCCACCCCAGCACUCCAUUGUUUCACACUUGUCUGCUUUUGUUCCAGCCCUGUGGCACCCUGGGUACACUUGCUUUUGCCUUUUCAUUACAGUAACAAAGGGAGGUUUUAAUGGUGAAUUGCAAAGGGAACACCCAAUCUAGAUAACCCUCUUAAAGUGAAUGAAUGAAUAAAUAAAUAACCAGUGAUUUUCUUUCUCCCUAUUUUCAGUUUUUAGUUGUGUUUUAAUUUUGGUAUGAUAUUUUAUAUAAUGUAUUUACUGGUUUUUAGAGGAGACAGAACUAAGGGAUUUCCCAGUCUCUUGCAUAAUAAUACAUAAAUAACUAACCCUGAGUGAGAAUCAUGCUUUCUUCCUAUCUGAACAACAACAAAUGUAAUCUAGAGUUACAGAUUAAGAGACUAGGACUCGGACCAGGGAAAGCCAAGGGUAUAGGAGCUUUCCUCCUUCCUAUGUCACCUGAAGGAAUGUCCACCUUCCUUAUCUCUCCCCUAGCUCCAUCUGCCAGAAACUUUGAGAGUUUAUGUCAGGCCAAGGGCAUGGUAGUCCCAUUAGCUUUCACUCCUUCAGGCUAUAUUUGAGUGCUGAUGUUCUACUCCCCUGUUCAUGACACAAGAGUUUACUUGAGUUUACAUCACUACAAUCAAGACCUUAAGCGAAUAUGUAGCUUCUAGGGAAAGAAAAAGUUCUAUCCUCAGGGGCUUCUCACCUUCAUCUGUCCUAGGGAAGGUUAGGAGGGAACUAAUGCACUUCUAGUAGUGGUAGCUGGGGUAUAAUUGAAAACCAAGACCUGGACUGCAGUCGUGGGUAAGCAGUUCCCACAUUGGGAAAUGGUCCUGGUGUGUGUGUGUGUGUGUGUCAAUGUAACCACACUUCCAUUGGUUGGGAGCCUUGUCUUCAUAGUGGGCCAAGAAACUCGAGGAAUAUUAACUGACCAUCAUCUGCCCAUCUCUUACAGUCUUUGAUUUGCUUCACAGAUAGGGACAGACGCCAUAUUCAGAGUCCUUGGUGGCUUGCCUCUAGGACAUUUGGGGCAAGGUCAACCCCCAAAUGCUUAGGAAGAAAACAUUAGGCCUCGUCUCAUGAAGCAUUUCUGUAAGCAAGAGGGAAAGGCCUUGUGUGCAAAUGUCUUUUACCUGCAGACCAUGCAGAAUGUGCUAAAAACUGCGGUAUGGAUAUACAGACUCUGACAAACCUUUGUGCCAAAUCAAGAAAAAAAAAAACCAAAAAACAAAAACAACAAAACAAAACAAAAAAGCAUGUUUUCAAAAA